GAUCUUUGCAAAAGGAAUAUUCUUCUGAUCAUCUGUGAAUAUAUGGGGAUGCGAACCAGGAAAAAAAACACAUUGCCACCCUGCCCCUUUUCACCCAGUUCUUCCCCAAGAUGCAGAUUAAGUAACACCAAACCAGUGAAACAGUGAGCGGUUACUGUUUCUCCAACUUAAUUUUUGCCUCAUAAUGCUAAUGUGAGAUUUAAGGAAGCAUUCACAGGAAAGUCAGCAGGCAGGAGGAAAGGUGUAUGUCUACAGAGCGCAGUCCUCUAUUUGAAAGCAUUCUCUGUUUGCUCAGUUGUCCAGUCCAAGCCCAACUUAAAGUAAAAGAACCAUAUGAGUGGAACACAGAGUCAUGGAAGUUGCCCAUUAAAUGUUCACAGCUUCACUGCAGGCAUACAGGUCACCUGGUUGCAGCCAUCCACUCUGGUGAGCUGCAUUGCAUUUCUGUUUAAAGUAUAGCAAUAAUUUCCAAAUUUGCACCAAUCAGCAUAUGCAAAUUGGCCCUCUUUUUUUGGCAACGGGUAACUGGCCACCUUAGCAGAAGGCAGUGGUGGCUGGUACCUUUGGGAUUGGUAAGGCAGAAGGGAGAGGACAACAGCUGGUGGGGGAGGGGUCAGAGACAAUGACAGGCAGUGCCAACCUCUUCUCGUUUCGUCCCCAUCAUCCUUCCUGCAAGUUCUAAAACUAAUUUAAUCCAAGACUAAGCCUAGUGGGACUAAGGAGGAGGCAGCUGACAGCUAGUGGCACCGAAAGAAGGCAAGCAAUUGAGGGGUGGCUGAAGGCAGGUGCCUCUACUGGUAGGCAGGGGUUCUUAACCAUUAAUGCAGCUGCCAAUUCUUCCCAGGUAGUUCUCUUCCCCCCAGGAGGCUUUAUAAAAUUGAAAGUGAGCUUUGAUGGAGGGAAAGCAGUGUGGUGGGUGUGUUAUGUGUGCAUGAGAUUAUUGGGAGGUGUAGGAGGAGCUCCUGCUACUCAGUCUUCCGUCAAGCUCCCCCUCCCCAUAUUUCUCUUAUUUCCAUUUUUCAAAUUCCUCCUGAAAGUUAGUAAUGAUGGGGACAGAUCCAGCUUACGAGAAAGGGCAUUAUAUGAGUGGGGAACCACUACUGGAAACAUCCUUGAAUGGAUGCAACGCCAGCUGGGUAGCCCCUUUUGGUAGCACCACCAACAAUGCAUCACCUGCAGAUUGUAGGGUCCAAGAUGGUUAACACUAGGGAAGCCUUUCCCCGCCUCUUUUUUUAGCUACUUGGGUCGCAAGCCAUUUAGGGCUUUAUAUUAUGGUGUAUAUAGGGCCUGGUAGCUCACUGGUAGCCAGUGCAGUGAAAGGACCGGUUCCACCAGGCUGACCUACUUACCCAGCUAGCAGCUGUGUUCUGCAGCCUCCAGACCAAUUUCAAGGGCAGCUCCACAUAAAGGGCAUUACCAGUAGUCCAAGUGGGAGGUCACUGAAGCGUGGUCAGCUAAGGUCAUGCUAACCUGAUCAAGGGACGGCUGCAGCUGGCAGAGCAGCCUAAGCUGGGCAUAAGCGCUCUUAACCACAGAAGCAACUUGAGACUUCAUCAUAGCUGUCAACCUUCCCUUUUUUUGAGGGAAAUUCCCUUAUUCCAGUGCCGUUUCCCGCUGCUAUCCCAGAUUGAUAUCCUGUAGACUGUCCCCGGGACAGGUGAGGCUGCUGAUCCCUUAAUUUCAAGGCUGCUGAUCCCUUAUUUUCAAAUCUGAAAGUUGACAGCUAUGGACUUCAUUGACAAGUUGAAAUCGAGGAAUAUGAACCAGUUCCUUCAGGGGGGAUAUAUGUCCCCUCCCAGAACAGGUCAUCUAUCUAAUUCCUGGACACAGGAACUAACCACUUACAGCUUCAGUUUAUUGGUCCCCAUCGAGUCCAUCACUGCCUGUGGUCCAUGACCUUCAUAGCAUCCCCUGGUUCUAAUGGAAUGGAGAGAGAGCACUGUGCACGAACUGAUGCUCCAAAUCCCCAGAUGAUCGCUUGUAACAGGUUUCAUAUAACAUAUAGGUGACAGGACAGAUGCUUGUGGGAUCCCACACAGCCCCAAAGCCAUGAAGCUGAGCAACAGUCUCCUAGUUCUACUUUUUGGCAGCAACCCUGCAAGUUAGGAGCAGAGCCACUGCAAUAACAUAAGAGCCCUGCUGGAUCAGGCCAAUGGUUCAUCUAGUAGUCCAGCAUCCUGUUCGCACAGCAGCCAACCAGUUGCCUAUGGAAAGCAAGAAAAGAAGGACCUGAGUGCCACAGCAGUCUCCCUGAACCUCUACUGUGGAGGCUGAUGCACAAAAAUCAUUUAGCUAUUCUGUAAUCACCUUUUCCUCCUUUAGCACACCUUUGACAUCCUUGUCAUCCAAAAAUCACUCUCCCUAGCUAGUUUGCUGCUUCUAAUUACGGUGGUACCUCGGGUUACAAACACCUCAGGUUACAAACACUUUGGGUUACAGACUCUGCUAACCCGGAAGUAGUACCUCGGGUUAAGAACUUUACCUCAGGAUGAGAACAGAAAUCGCGUGCUGGCGGCACAGCGGCAGCGGGAGGCCCCAUUGGCUAAAGUGGUACCUCAGGUUAAGAACGGUUUCAGCUUAAGAACGGACCUCCGGAACGAAUUAAGUUCAUAACCAGAGGUACCACUCUAUUUCUUUGGUGAUUGUAGUCCUUGCUUUUAGCAAUGUGCUACUUUAGUUCUUUUUCUGCAUUCCUUGCAUUUCUUUCCCCCAAAGUUUGUUCCUUUAUAUUCUCAUUUAGACAAGACUUUCAUUUUCCGAAAGAAGGCUCCUUGUCUCUAAUAGCUUCCUUCACUCUGUUGAGCAUGCUGGUAUUUUCUGUUGGUACCUUUUGUGAUAGAUAGUAUACAUUGCAGGUGAGCUUCUAUUAUAGCAGUUUUGCACAACCUCCAAGCAUUCUGGAGAGAUUUAACCACCUUCACUUUACCUUUAAACUUUUUAUCAUUCUCCUCCUUUUUGAUACGUUUCUUCUUUUGAAGCCACAUGUGAUCGUUGAGCUUACUUGGCAAUUCUCAACUUACAUACACAUUCAGUUUGAUAGUACUAUGGUCCCUGUUACCAGCUGGUUUAACCAAGUUAAAAUCAUGCUUUGUAGUUGGUGCUGUGGCCAACUUAUUUAGAUCACCAUCACUGAGGGUAUUUAGAGACUGUGCCGCUUUGUUUGAUUGUAACACAAAUGUAUUCAAGUCUAUGUGAGGCCACCUGAAGUCAUGCAUCAGUGCAACAGUUCCUCCUGUGAAUGCCUCCUUGAUUUCAUUCUGCAUCUGCAUCUUUGGCAUUUUUCUUUGGUAUCCCUCCUUUCUUUCAGAGUGGUAGCAUUGGCUGUAAUGCUAAACACUGUUUGACAACCUAAAACGGAGCACAUUGUGUAAUUAACUUGAGUGCCUGCAGCACAAUGGCUCCAUCUGAGUUUCUGCCAAUAUUUCAAAAGCUGUUUUGGUUUUGAGGCUUGAACUGAUAUUUAUUUUGCCCUUGGUAUGCUGCAUGCAUAUGAAAUCUACAUUAAGGCAGGGUUGGGGGACAAAACGUGGCCCUCCAGGCAGUGCAGAUUUAUGGUCUGUGAGGCCCCGUGUGCAGCCUUUUGGGGAAGCGGGGGGCAGCAUUUGUUCACCUAGAGCCAGUGUGGUGUAGGGGUUAAGAGUGGUGGACUUGUAAUCUGGUGAACCGGGUUCGCAUCUCCGCUCCUCCACAUGCAGCUGCUGGGUGACCUUGGGCUAGCCACACUUCUCUGAAGUCUCUCAGCCCCACUCACCUCACAGAGUGUUUGUUGUGGGGGAGGAAGGGAAAAGGAGAUUGUUAGCUGCUUUGAGACUCCUUAGUGUAGUGAUAAAGCGGGAUAUCAAAUCCAAACUUCUCUUCUAAUGUGACUAUGUCAAAAUUAGGAGCGUAUGAGGAGAUAAUAAUAAUGUUUGCACUGCGCUCAUCUUUCUCAACACAACUUGGGAAGAAUCACUGCUGUGGAUAAGACAGGAGGAAAAGGUGAUAAUAAUGAUGCUUCUGAAAUGCCCCGCUCCAAAACAAAACAAAACCCUUGGGAACAAUCAGGAAAGAUGUGACAAGAAUGAUGAUAAUGAGAAUGCGUCAGCAUUGCCCCUCCCCCAAAACAAAUUGGGAACAAUCUGGGGGAGCUGACCUAAAAGUUUCUGACCAAAAGGUCCCAGUCCCUUAAGAUGAAAAUAUGGCCGAACCAAGUUGUGGCUGAGAUCAUUUUUCAAAUGAUGGGAUUUUGCUUUUAGUAGGGAAUUUGAUUGCUUCUACAGAAUGCUCCAUUUUGAUGUGUUUAGCUUAUGAGGGUGGGGGAACUGAAUAUGGACUAAAAAGAAACGGGGGAGUGGGUGGAUUGCAGGUUUCGCUGAGAAGCAAAUCAGGUUUUGUGAGGGAUGGGUAAAAUUCACGCAGCACAAUAUGAAAGCUUCCUUUUCCACUAUAUUCAGAAUUAAACUGCAAAAAUAAAAAAUGAAUGCCUU